CCAACAGCUGUUUGAGAAGAUAAUUCACAAUGGCCGCGAGCUGUUGUGGAGUGAAGAAACAGAAAUUAAAUAAUUCUAUGCCGUCUGUUUCCUGCCAUGGAACCUCAAGUUACAUGAAUGGGCUGAAAAAUGGAUACACUGUUGCUUGUGCUCAAAUGUGUUUCUACUGUUUUGACAUACUACACAGCCAUUUACACAGUUAUGAACCACCUAGAACCCCGUCUUUCACUAACGAAUCCUACCCAUUAUUUGUGACUUGGAAAUUAGGUAAAGACAAAAGAUUACGAGGUUGUAUAGGAACAUUUUCAGCAACAAACUUGCAAUGUGGUCUCAGGGAAUAUGCUGUCACAAGUGCAAUGCGUGACAGUCGCUUCAGUCCAAUCACGAAGGAAGAAUUUCCUCGCCUCCAUUGUUCAGUCUCCAUCCUAACUCAUUUUGAGGAAGCCAGGGAUUACUUAGAUUGGGAGCAGGUGAGGAGCUUUUUGUCAGUCGUCAGUGUGCGAAUUCUUCACGUACAUGCUUUCAGCGGCAUAAUGUACUCAGAACAGUUGAGUUGGAACAAAUGGAGUUCGCAUAGAGUUCAUAAAUGAGAAAGGUCACAAGAAAACUGCCACAUAUCUGCCAGAAGUUGCAGUAGAACAAGGAUGGGAUCGCAUACAAACCAUUGACUCUUUACUCAGGAAAGGGG
rnacentral:misc_RNA from 1 species